AGAGUUUGAUCCUGGCUCAGGACGAACGCUGGCGGCGUGCUUAACACAUGCAAGUCGAGCGGAAAGGCCCUUCGGGGUACUCGAGCGGCGAACGGGUGAGUAACACGUGAGCAACCUGCCCCUGGCUCUGGGAUAGCCUCCGGAAACGGGGAUUAAUACCGGACAUUCACUCUCUUGGGCAUCUUCGAGAGUGGAAAGUUUUUUCGGCCGGGGAGGGGCUCGCGGCCUAUCAGCUUGUUGGCGGGGUAACGGCCCACCAAGGCGACGACGGGUAGCCGGCCUGAGAGGGCGACCGGCCACACUGGGACUGAGACACGGCCCAGACUCCUACGGGAGGCAGCAGUGGGGAAUAUUGCGC
rnacentral:rRNA from 1 species